AUUGAACGCUGGCGGCAUGCCUUACACAUGCAAGUCGAACGGCAGCACGGGGGCAACCUUGGUGGCGAGUGGCGAACGGGUGAGUAAUACAUCGGAACGUGCCCUGAAGUGGGGGAUAACGUAGCGAAAGUUACGCUAAUACCGCAUAUUCUGUGAGCAGGAAAGCAGGGGAUCGCAAGACCUUGUGCUUUAGGAGCGGCCGAUGUCGGAUUAGCUAGUUGGUGAGGUAAAGGCUCACCAAGGCGACGAUCCGUAGCGGGUCUGAGAGGAUGAUCCGCCACACUGGGACUGAGACACGGCCCAGACUCCUACGGGAGGCAGCAGUGGGGAAUUUUGGACAAUGGGCGCAAGCCUGAUCCAGCCAUGCCGCGUGAGUGAAGAAGGCCUUC
rnacentral:rRNA from 1 species